UAGGAUGUUGAAGAGAGCUGGGAGGAGAUGCCAAGAACACUAGGCUGCUUCCUACCAUCUAGCUUACAGUCCAACAUGUGAGUAACACCAAUACAAAUGAAAAGCCAUCAAAUGUGUCCAAUAGUGAAUAUCAUCCCGGCAGUCUCUGAGCUAGGAGGGAGAGUCCUGGAGAGGUGUUUAUUUUCUGAUAUAAAAAAGUUCUUGAAUAAACAGAAGAAUAAAUGAAAGAAUGACAAAAUGCAAAGGCCUUGAGUCAUGAUAUGCUGCAAAGACAGAAAGAAGACAGGAAUAAGGAGAGAAGAGGAGGCUAAAGAGGCAGGCAGGGGCCAGACCACAUAGGUCCUUGUGAGUAAUUAGAAGGGGCUCUGAUUUUCUUCCAAGAGCAUCAGAAAACUGUUCACCUCUGGAAAGCUUUAGCUUUGCAAUUCCCAACAGGUGACAUAACACUUGGAGAAACACUGAACUCUAUGACCUCUUCCCCGCUAUGUUCUGUGAUGCCCGGAAGUAGAGCUCUGCACUGUUAUUUAAUCCUAUCAAUGUUUGCUCU
rnacentral:lncRNA from 1 species